UUUUACUGUAAAAAUUGUUGAGGUAUUACAGAACCAGUGGUGGAAACAGUGAGUGGAUACCACGGCUUGCAGUGGUUCAACCUAAUCAAGCUUAUAUUUGUUGCCGGUGCCAGUUAAAUCGACUGUUUGACUCGAUCAACCACUCAUUUGGUAUGUUGGAGAUUUGAAGGAAGGAAAUAUGAGCUUGCUAAGAAGUUAAAGACGAUUGUAUAAAGGAAGGAAAGCGUUUGCCUGAGGGUCUUUAUACGUUGCGAAGAUGGGAGACCCUUCUGUGGAGGUUGCCGAUGAUAACCGUGAUGCUUCGCAUUCAGCUAAGGCCAAAGCCGUGGAUGCCAUUUCUGAAGCCAGUGUUUACAUUAAGAUGAAAAAGCCCAAUGCUGCUAUUCGAGAUGCCAAUGCUGCUUUGGAGGAAUCUCCUUGGUGAAGAGUUGGGUCUAUUGAACUCAAAGGAGCUUGAGCAUCAACUAGAGCCAUCCUUGAAACAUGUCCGCUCCACCAAGACUAGUCAAGCUAUGGCAAGUGCUCUCAAUGUUGUACAAACAUCUCAUUCGUAUGGGGAUUUAAUGCUCCUAAUGAAAGCUGCUGAACUGCAACAAGUGUGUGCUUCUCUUGGUGGUUUUUUUUACUACUUUUUUAAGUGAUAAAACUUAUGUUAACUUUGUGAGGAAUCGGGUCUCGUAACACGUGAUUCAUCUGAAUAUCUAUUUGUUUUAGUGUUAAUAAUUCUUUUAACAUAAAUUUUGCGGGAAAGGCCCUGGAGUUAUAUGGUUGAAAUGGCCAGGAUUGAAUCGGUGAGUCCAAUUUGAAUCUCUUAUUCGUCUUUCCAUAAAAAUACAUUUGUAUUUGAACUUGAACUUGAUGGUUUACCGAUCAUUCCACUCUUAUCAGAGCUGAUAUGCUCAAUUGUUUUUACUCUUAAAAUUAAUCACUCGUAGGUUUACAGGGAAGUUGAGUUCCUUCUAGCUGUGACGAGGUAUUGCAGAGAAUAAGUUAAGAUAGUAACCACUAUUCAUGCAAGCUUGUGAAUUAGCAUUUGCCGAAUGUUAUGUUACAAAUGGAAUGCAAGCCCUGUGGUUUAUUUUAAGGUUUAAAUAUUGUUAUGAAUGUUACGGUUUAUUUUAAGGUUUAUGGUUUACCGAUCAUUCCAUUCUUAUCAGAGCUUUGAGUUCAUUACAAGAUUUUCUUGAUUAAGUUAAUGUAUUAUAUCUUUUAUUACCUUGCAAUAUGUAUAGUCAUAGGCAGGUUCAACUAGUCAGUCUGUUUCUCAUAGGUAUUA